GCGGAUAAGUGUCCGUUGGAAUGUAGCCUAUAAUAGGCUGAACCAUAAA
rnacentral:ncRNA from 1 species